rnacentral:rRNA from 1 species
UUUUGAGCGUUCGGUGGAUGCCUUGGCAUCAGGGGCCGAUGAAGGACGUGGUGGCCUGCGAUAUUCCUCGGGGAGCCGGCUGGCGGGCUGUGAUCCGAGGGUUUCCGAAUGGGGGGACCCGGCACGAGUUAUGUCGUGUCACCUGCAUCUGAAUUGUAUAGGGUGUGGGGGGUGACGCGGGGAAGUGAAACAUCUUAGUACCCGUAGGAGAAGAUAUUCCGUGAGUAGUGGCGAGCGAAAGCGGAUGAUGGUGAAACCGUGUGCGUGUGAUACUCGGCAGGGGUUGCGUGUGCGGGGUUGUGGGGCUGUCCUGUUGGUCUUCUGCCGGAGACCGGGCGCGUGUGCUGGCUGGUAGCUGAAUCGUCUGGGAAGGCGUGGCGUAGUGGGUGAUACCCCCGUAGGCGGAACUGGUUGGUGUGUGUCUGGGGUGGUGCCCGAGUAGCACGGGGCUCGUGGAAUCCUGUGUGAAUCUGCCAAGACCACUUGGCUGCCUGAAUACCUCCUGAUGACCGAUAGUGGAUAGUACCGUGAGGGAAUGGUGAAAAGUACCCCGGGAGGGGAGUGAAAUAGUACCUGAAACCGGGCGCUUGCAAGCCGUCAGAGCCUUCCAUGCUUGUUGUGUGUGGGGGUGGUGGCGUGCCUUUUGAAGAAUGAGCCUGCGAGUCAGUGGCGUGUCGCGAGGUUAACCCGUGUGGGGUAGCCGUAGCGAGAGCGAGUCCGAACAGGGCGAGUGUAGUGGCGCGUUCUGGACCCGAAGCGGGGUGAUCUACCCAUGGCCAGGUUGAAGCACGUGUAAGAGCGUGUGGAGGACCGAACCCACCUAGGUUGAAAACUGGGGGGAUGAGCUGUGGGUAGGGGUGAAAGGCCAAUCAAACUCCGUGAUAGCUGGUUCUCCCCGAAAUGCAUUUAGGUGCAGCGUCGCGUGUUGCCCGGCGGAGGUAGAGCUACUGGGUGGCUGAUGGGCCCCACAGGGUUACUGACGUCAACCAAACUCCGAAUGCCGUGCGGGUUGUAGCGUGGCAGUGAGACUGCGGGGGAUAAGCUCCGUGGUCGAGAGGGAAACAGCCCAGAUCGCCGGCUAAGGCCCCUAAGCGUGUGCUAAGUGGGAAAGGAUGUGCGGUCGCGCAGACAACCAGGAGGUUGGCUUAGAAGCAGCCAUCCUUGAAAGAGUGCGUAAUAGCUCACUGGUCAAGUGAUUCUGCGCCGAUAAUGUAGCGGGGCUCAAGUACACCGCCGAAGUUGUGGCAAUCAGUCUUUGUGGCUGGUUGGGUAGGGGAGCGUCCUGCACGAGGUGAAGCUGCCACGGGAGUGUGUGGUGGAUUGUGUGGGAGUGAGAAUGCAGGCAUGAGUAGCGAAUCACGGGUGAGAAACCCGUGCGCCGGAUGAUCAAGGGUUCCAGGGUCAAGUUAAUCUGCCCUGGGUUAGUCGGGGCCUAAGGCGAGGCCGACAGGCGUAGUCGAUGGAGAACGGGUUGAUAUUCCCGUACCAGUGAAGGACCGUCCAUACUGAUAUUGUGAUGCUAACCAUGCCGAUCACGGUGUCAUGAAGUUUUUCUUUGUGGUGUUGUGGGGUGUGUGGGACCCAAGCUUUGGAGGUAAGCGUGUUAACAGGUGUGACGCAGGAAGGUAGCCAAGCCACGCGGUGGUUGUCGUGGUCUAAGCGUGUAGGAUGACUGGUUGUUAAAUGCGCCGGUUGUGUGUCUGAGACGUGAUGGGACCCCUUGUUUGUGGGGGAUUUGGUGAUCCUAUGCUGCCGAGAAAAGCAUCGGCGUGAGGUUUUAGCUGCCCGUACCCGAAACCGACACAGGUGAUCAGGUAGAGAAUACUAAGGCGAUCGAGAGAAUCAUGGUUAAGGAACUCGGCAAAAUGCCCCCGUAACUUCGGGAGAAGGGGGGCCCUGAGCGUGAUCUGCCCGUGCGGUGGGGAGCGUGUAGGGGUCGCAGAGACCAGGGGGAAGCGACUGUUUAUCAAAAACACAGGUCCGUGCGAAGUCGUAAGACGAGGUAUACGGACUGACUCCUGCCCGGUGCUGGAAGGUUAAGAGGAUUGGUUAGCCCUGUGUGGGCGAAGCUGAGAAUUUAAGCCCCAGUAAACGGCGGUGGUAACUAUAACCAUCCUAAGGUAGCGAAAUUCCUUGUCGGGUAAGUUCCGACCUGCACGAAUGGCGUAACGACUUCCCCGCUGUCUCAACCAUGAGCUCGGCGAAAUUGCAGUACGAGUAAAGAUGCUCGUUUCGCGCAGAAGGACGGAAAGACCCCGGGACCUUUACUACAGCUUGGUAUUGGCGCCCGCUAUAGCUUGUGCAGGAUAGGUGGGAGACGUUGAAGCCGUUACGCCAGUAGCGGUGGAGUCGUCCUUGAAAUACCACUCUGGUUAUGGCGUGCGCCUGAACCUGGGCCCGUGAUCCGGGUUAGGGACAGUGCCUGGUGGGUAGUUUAACUGGGGCGGUUGCCUCCUAAAGUGUAACGGAGGCGCUCAAAGGUUCCCUCAGCCUGGUCGGCAACCAGGUGUUGAGUGCAAGUGCACAAGGGAGCUUGACUGUGAGACCGACGGGUCGAGCAGGUACGAAAGUAGGAACUAGUGAUCCGGCGAUCCCGUGUGGGUGGGUCGUCGCUCAACGGAUAAAAGGUACCCCGGGGAUAACAGGCUGAUCCUGCCCAAGAGUCCAUAUCGACGGCAUGGUUUGGCACCUCGAUGUCGGCUCGUCGCAUCCUGGGGCUGGAGCAGGUCCCAAGGGUUGGGCUGUUCGCCCAUUAAAGCGGUACGCGAGCUGGGUUUAGAACGUCGUGAGACAGUUCGGUCCCUAUCCUCUGCGCGCGCAGGAGACUUGAGAAGGCCUGUCCCUAGUACGAGAGGACCGGGACGGACGAACCUCUGGUGUGCCAGUUGUCCCGCCCGGGGCACGGCUGGUUGGCUACGUUCGGGAAGGGUAACCGCUGAAAGCAUCUAAGCGGGAAACCAUCUUCAAGAUAAGGUCUCCACAAGAAGGACUUGUCCUUCUUGGUAGGCCCCCAGCAGACUACUGGGUUGAUAGGCCAGAAGUGGAAGACCGGUAACGGUUGGAGCUGACUGGUACUAAUAGGCCAACACAAACAACA